rnacentral:rRNA from 1 species
GUAGUCUCGCACAGAUGCAUAUCAAUAAGCGGAGGAAAAGAAACUAACAAGGAUUCCCCUAGUAACGGCGAGUGAAGCGGGAAGAGCUCAAAUUUGAAAUCUUAAAGGGUUUCCCUUUACGAAUUGUAGUUUAAAGAAGUGUUUUCUGUUGAGGUUUUGGUAAAAGUUCUUUGGAAUAGGACAUCAUAGAGGGUGAGAAUCCCGUAUUUGACCUUUACUUUCAACUCUUGUGAUACACUUUCAAAGAGUCGGAUUGUUUGGGAAUGCAGUCCAAAAUGGGUGGUAAAUUUCAUCUAAAGCUAAAUAUUGGCGAGAGACCGAUAGCGAACAAGUACCGUGAGGGAAAGAUGAAAAGAACUUUGAAAAGAGAGUUAAACAGUACGUGAAAUUGUCAAAAGGGAAGCGUUUGACACCAGUGUUGUUUUUCUGAAAAUCAAUUAAAGAACUGUUUAUGCUAAGUUGUUUAGACUUUAUCAGCUAACUGUUUAGUUUUGAGCUUUUCUUUAAUGCACUUUUCAGUUAACAAGUCAACAUCAAUUUCUUUUGCUGUAAAAAAGCUUGAGGAAGGUGGCUUGAGAUUCGUCUUAAGUGUUUAUAGCCUCUUGCCUAUGCAGUCGGAGAGAUUGAGGUCUGCAGCGUAGAUCCUUCGGGGCUAAAUGCAUUUGUGCUAAGUUAUAGCAUUUUAUAGACAACUUGUUGACUAUGAUUUGUCUUGUAGCUUACUCGCUUAUGUUAUUUUACCUACGCUUAGGAUGUUGACGCAUGAGAUAUACGC